rnacentral:rRNA from 2 species
GCUUCCGGAGCUAACGCGUUAAGUCGACCGCCUGGGGAGUACGGCCGCAAGGUUAAAACUCAAAUGAAUUGACGGGGGCCCGCACAAGCGGUGGAGCAUGUGGUUUAAUUCGAUGCAACGCGAAGAACCUUACCUGGUCUUGACAUCCACGGAAGUUUUCAGAGAUGAGAAUGUGCCUUCGGGAACCGUGAGACAGGUGCUGCAUGGCUGUCGUCAGCUCGUGUUGUGAAAUGUUGGGUUAAGUCCCGCAACGAGCGCAACCCUUAUCCUUUGUUGCCAGCGGUCCGGCCGGGAACUCAAAGGAGACUGCCAGUGAUAAACUGGAGGAAGGUGGGGAUGACGUCAAGUCAUCAUGGCCCUUACGACCAGGGCUACACACGUGCUACAAUGGCGCAUACAAAGAGAAGCGACCUCGCGAGAGCAAGCGGACCUCAUAAAGUGCGUCGUAGUCGGAUUGGAGUCUGCAACUCGACUCCAUGAAGUCGGAAUCGCUAGUAAUCGUGGAUCAGAAUGCCACGGUGAAUACUUUCCCGGGCCUUGUACACACCGCCGUCACACCAUGGGAGUGGGUUGCAAAAGAAGUAGGUAGCUUAACCUUCGGGAGGGCGCUUACCACUUUGUGAUUCAUGACUGGGGUGAAGUCGUAACAAGGUAACCGUAGGGGAACCUGCGGUUG